UACGGAGGGUGCAAGCGUUGUCCGGAUUCAUUGGGUUUAAAGGGUGCGCAGGCGGGUCACUAAGUCAGGGGUGAAAGACGGUUGCUCAACAAUCGCAGUGCCUUUGAUACUGGUGUUCUUGGGUGACGGUGAGGUAGGCGGAAUGGGUGGUGUAGCGGUGAAAUGCAUAGAUACCACCCAGAACUCCGAUUGCGAAGGCAGCCUACUGGUCGUUAACCGACGCUCAGGCACGAAAGCGUGGGGAGCAAACAGG
rnacentral:rRNA from 1 species